rnacentral:lncRNA from 1 species
GGGGGGAGGGGCUUAAGGGGGCGUGGUCAAAUGGGGGGGGACCGGAAGUGGGCGGGGUCUAAUUGUGGGAGGGGGCUGUGGGGUCUGUUGGGGUCGGUGAGGUUGGGUUGGCCAAUGGGAUCCAUUGGGGUUGGGGGGGGAGGGGGCGGGGCUUAAGUGGGCGUGGUUAACUGGGAGGAGCUUAAAUGGGCGUGGCCGGAAGUGGGCGUGGCCUAAAGGUGGGAGGGGUCUGUGAGGUUGGGUUGGCCAAUGUCAGCUUUAUGGGGUUGGAUGGAAGUCUAUGGGGUCAGGAUUUAUGGGGUUGGGACCUAUGGCGUCAGGAUUUAUGGGGUCAGGAUUUAUGGGGCAGAUCUAUGGGGUCAGGAUCUAUGGGGCAGAUCUGUGGGGUCAGGAUUUAUGGGGCAGAUCUGUAGGGUCAGGACCUAUGGGGUCAGGAUCUAUGGGGCAGAUCUAUGGGGUCAGGAUCUAUGGGGCAGAUCUAUGGGGUCGGGAUCUAUGGGGCAGAUCUGUGGGGUCAGGACCUAUGGGGUCAGGAUUUAUGGGACAAAUCUAUGGGGUCAAGAUCUAUGGGGCAGAUCUGUGGGGUCAGGAUCUAUGGGGCAGAUCUAUGGGGUCGGGAUCUAUGGGGCAGAUCUGUGGGGUCAGGACCUAUGGGGUCAGGAUUUAUGGGACAAAUCUAUGGGGUCAAGAUCUAUGGGGCAGAUCUGUGGGGUCAGGAUCUAUGGGGCAGAUCUAUGGGGUCGGGAUCUAUGGGGCAGAUCUGUGGGGUCAGGACCUAUGGGGUCAGGAUUUAUGGGACAAAUCUAUGGGGUCAAGAUCUAUGGGGCAGAUCUGUGGGGUCAGGACCUAUGGGGUCAGGAUUUAUGGGACAAAUCUAUGGGGUCAAGAUCUAUGGGGCAGAUCUGUGGGGUCAGGACCUAUGGGGUCAGGAUUUAUGGGACAAAUCUAUGGGGUCAAGAUCUAUGGGGCAGAUCUGUGGGGUCAGGAUCUAUGGGGCAGAUCUAUGGGGUCGGGAUCUAUGGGGCAGAUCUAUGGGGUCAGGAUUUAUGGGGCAGAUCUAUGGGGUCAGGUUCUACGGGGUCAGGCUCUGUGGAGCAGGGCUGUAUGGGGUCAGGAUCUAUGGGGCAGAUCUAUGGGGUCGGGUUCUAUGGGGUCAGGCUCUGUGGGGCAAGGCUGUAUGGGGUCAGGAUCUAUGGGGCAGAUCGAUGGGGUCAGGAUCUGUGGGGUCUGGAUUUAUGGGGCAGAUGUAUGGGGUCAGGAUCUAUGGGGCAGAUCUGUGGGGUCAGGAUCUGUGCGGUCAGGAUUUAUGGGGUCAG